rnacentral:misc_RNA from 1 species
AAGAGGAAGGAUACGAUGAUUCGGCAUCUGAGUUAUAGGAUGUGUUUUCAAAUGCUUUAUUGCAAUAAUGACUAGGGGUGAGUGCAAAAUCAUUUGAACUACAACUAGCAACAGAGCAGUGGUCGCUAUCUUCAGUUGAAAGAGGCCUAGAAGAACUAUAUAUCCUGUUACUUGUUGCGCUUGCUAUAUCAGCAUCCAUCUCCCAAGAUUCUCCAUUGAAUUUCUCAUCUUCUUUCACUUCGGGAGAAGAAACAUCAACUACCCUCCUAAACAAAUGAAGAUUUCCUGUGAGAGGCCUGCGGCAUCCUCCCACUUUAGAAAAUAGGUCCUUAGAAGAUCUGUCGAGACAAUACAUGUUGCUUCUAUUUACCAUUCUUGC